GGUUAAGCGACUAAGCGUACACGGUGGAUGCCCUGGCAGUCAGAGGCGAUGAAGGACGUGCUAAUCUGCGAUAAGCGUCGGUAAGGUGAUAUGAACCGUUAUAACCGGCGAUUUCCGAAUGGGGAAACCCAGUGUGAUUCGUCACACUAUCAUUAACUGAAUCCAUAGGUUAAUGAGGCGAACCGGGGGAACUGAAACAUCUAAGUACCCCGAGGAAAAGAAAUCAACCGAGAUUCCCCCAGUAGCGGCGAGCGAACGGGGAGCAGCCCAGAGCCUGAAUCAGUGUGUGUGUUAGUGGAAGCGUCUGGAAAGGCGCGCGAUACAGGGUGACAGCCCCGUACACAAAAAUGCACAUAUUGUGAGCUCGAUGAGUAGGGCGGGACACGUGGUAUCCUGUCUGAAUAUGGGGGGACCAUCCUCCAAGGCUAAAUACUCCUGACUGACCGAUAGUGAACCAGUACCGUGAGGGAAAGGCGAAAAGAACCCCGGCGAGGGGAGUGAAAAAGAACCUGAAACCGUGUACGUACAAGCAGUGGGAGCACAGAGCAAUCUGUGUGACUGCGUACCUUUUGUAUAAUGGGUCAGCGACUUAUAUUCUGUAGCAAGGUUAACCGAAUAGGGGAGCCGAAGGGAAACCGAGUCUUAACUGGGCGUUAAGUUGCAGGGUAUAGACCCGAAACCCGGUGAUCUAGCCAUGGGCAGGUUGAAGGUUGGGUAACACUAACUGGAGGACCGAACCGACUAAUGUUGAAAAAUUAGCGGAUGACUUGUGGCUGGGGGUGAAAGGCCAAUCAAACCGGGAGAUAGCUGGUUCUCCCCGAAAGCUAUUUAGGUAGCGCCUCGUGAAUUCAUCUCCGGGGGUAGAGCACUGUUUCGGCAAGGGGGUCAUCCCGACUUACCAACCCGAUGCAAACUGCGAAUACCGGAGAAUGUUAUCACGGGAGACACACGGCGGGUGCUAACGUCCGUCGUGAAGAGGGAAACAACCCAGACCGCCAGCUAAGGUCCCAAAGUCAUGGUUAAGUGGGAAACGAUGUGGGAAGGCCCAGACAGCCAGGAUGUUGGCUUAGAAGCAGCCAUCAUUUAAAGAAAGCGUAAUAGCUCACUGGUCGAGUCGGCCUGCGCGGAAGAUGUAACGGGGCUAAACCAUGCACCGAAGCUGCGGCAGCGACGCUUAUGCGUUGUUGGGUAGGGGAGCGUUCUGUAAGCCUGCGAAGGUGUGCUGUGAGGCAUGCUGGAGGUAUCAGAAGUGCGAAUGCUGACAUAAGUAACGAUAAAGCGGGUGAAAAGCCCGCUCGCCGGAAGACCAAGGGUUCCUGUCCAACGUUAAUCGGGGCAGGGUGAGUCGACCCCUAAGGCGAGGCCGAAAGGCGUAGUCGAUGGGAAACAGGUUAAUAUUCCUGUACUUGGUGUUACUGCGAAGGGGGGACGGAGAAGGCUAUGUUGGCCGGGCGACGGUUGUCCCGGUUUAAGCGUGUAGGCUGGUUUUCCAGGCAAAUCCGGAAAAUCAAGGCUGAGGCGUGAUGACGAGGCACUACGGUGCUGAAGCAACAAAUGCCCUGCUUCCAGGAAAAGCCUCUAAGCAUCAGGUAACAUCAAAUCGUACCCCAAACCGACACAGGUGGUCAGGUAGAGAAUACCAAGGCGCUUGAGAGAACUCGGGUGAAGGAACUAGGCAAAAUGGUGCCGUAACUUCGGGAGAAGGCACGCUGAUAUGUAGGUGAAGUCCCUCGCGGAUGGAGCUGAAAUCAGUCGAAGAUACCAGCUGGCUGCAACUGUUUAUUAAAAACACAGCACUGUGCAAACACGAAAGUGGACGUAUACGGUGUGACGCCUGCCCGGUGCCGGAAGGUUAAUUGAUGGGGUUAGCGCAAGCGAAGCUCUUGAUCGAAGCCCCGGUAAACGGCGGCCGUAACUAUAACGGUCCUAAGGUAGCGAAAUUCCUUGUCGGGUAAGUUCCGACCUGCACGAAUGGCGUAAUGAUGGCCAGGCUGUCUCCACCCGAGACUCAGUGAAAUUGAACUCGCUGUGAAGAUGCAGUGUACCCGCGGCAAGACGGAAAGACCCCGUGAACCUUUACUAUAGCUUGACACUGAACAUUGAGCCUUGAUGUGUAGGAUAGGUGGGAGGCUUUGAAGUGUGGACGCCAGUCUGCAUGGAGCCGACCUUGAAAUACCACCCUUUAAUGUUUGAUGUUCUAACGUGGACCCGUAAUCCGGGUUGCGGACAGUGUCUGGUGGGUAGUUUGACUGGGGCGGUCUCCUCCUAAAGAGUAACGGAGGAGCACGAAGGUUGGCUAAUCCUGGUCGGACAUCAGGAGGUUAGUGCAAUGGCAUAAGCCAGCUUGACUGCGAGCGUGACGGCGCGAGCAGGUGCGAAAGCAGGUCAUAGUGAUCCGGUGGUUCUGAAUGGAAGGGCCAUCGCUCAACGGAUAAAAGGUACUCCGGGGAUAACAGGCUGAUACCGCCCAAGAGUUCAUAUCGACGGCGGUGUUUGGCACCUCGAUGUCGGCUCAUCACAUCCUGGGGCUGAAGUAGGUCCCAAGGGUAUGGCUGUUCGCCAUUUAAAGUGGUACGCGAGCUGGGUUUAGAACGUCGUGAGACAGUUCGGUCCCUAUCUGCCGUGGGCGCUGGAGAACUGAGGGGGGCUGCUCCUAGUACGAGAGGACCGGAGUGGACGCAUCACUGGUGUUCGGGUUGUCAUGCCAAUGGCACUGCCCGGUAGCUAAAUGCGGAAGAGAUAAGUGCUGAAAGCAUCUAAGCACGAAACUUGCCCCGAGAUGAGUUCUCCCUGACUCCUUGAGAGUCCUGAAGGAACGUUGAAGACGACGACGUUGAUAGGCCGGGUGUGUAAGCGCAGCGAUGCGUUGAGCUAACCGGUACUAAUGAACCGUGAGGCUUAACCUU
rnacentral:rRNA from 1 species